rnacentral:rRNA from 1 species
UACAGAGGGUGCAAGCGUUGUCCGGAAUCACUGGGCUUAAAGCGUGUGUAGGCGGGCCCGUAAGUGUCUUGUGAAAUCCCCCGGCUCAACCGGGGAACGGCUGGGCAUACUGCGGGUCUUGGGCCGACUAGGGGCAGCCGGAACAAGCGGUGGAGCGGUGAAAUGCGUAGAUAUCGCUUGGAACGCCGAAGGUGAAAACAGGCUGCUGGGGUCGCGCCGACGCUGAGACACGAAAGCCAGGGGAGCAAACGGG